CUACAGAGGGUGCGAGCGUUGAUCGGAAUUACUGGGCGUAAAGCGCGCGUAGGCGGCUUAUUAAGUCAGAUGUGAAAUCCCCGGGCUCAACCUGGGAACUGCAUCUGAUACUGGUAAGCUAGAGUUUUGGAGAGGGAAGUAGAAUUUCAGGUGCAGCGGUGAAAUGCAUAGAGAUCUGAAGGAAUACCAGUGGCGAAGGCGACUUCCUGGCCAAAAACUGACGCUGAGGUGCGAAAGCGUGGGUAGCAAACGGGAUUAGAAACCCUAGUAGUCC
rnacentral:rRNA from 1 species